rnacentral:rRNA from 1 species
AACGAACGCUGGCGGCAUGCUUAACACAUGCAAGUCGAACGGAAAGGCCCUGCUUUUGUGGGGUGCUCGAGUUGCGAACGGGUGAGUAACACGUGAGUAACCUGCCCUUGACUGUGGGAUAACUUCAUGAAACUGGGGCUAAUCCCGGCUAGGAGCUCCUGCUGCAUGGUGGGGGUUGGAAAGUUUCGGCGGUUGGGGAUGGACUCGCGGCUUAUCGGCUUGGUUGUGGGGUAGUGGCUUACCAAGGCUUGGACGGGUAGCCGGGCUGAGCGGGUGAGCGGACAAAUUGGGAUGGGGAUGAGGCACAGACUACUCCGGGAGGGAGGAGGGGGGUAUAGUGCAUAAGGGGAGGAACCAUAGUGCAGUAAAGCAGCGUGCGGGAAGACGGCCAUGGGGUUGUAUACCAAUGUUGCCUGUGACGAAGCGUGAGUGACGGUAAUGGGUAAAGAAGCACCGGCUAACUACGUG